UUCUUUUUCCCAAAAUCGAUUCCCCCUAUCCCCAGAAAUCUCUUCUUCUUUUUUCCCCAUUUUAUUUAUCCCAAACCAUUUCUCCCCUACCUCGAUUCCCUUUAUUUUUCCCCCAAAUUUCCCCAAAUCGGCAGCCCUCUGCAUCUCCUCAAAAGGUACAGAUUCAUGGAGACCUUACGGAUAUCCCACGCCACCACAAUCUGCAUCCCCUCAAAAGGAAGAGAAAUUUGGAUUCUCAAGAAACUAUUUCUUAGCAAAAGAAAUGGGCAGUGCUGAGAAGAAAUCUGCUCGUAAACUCAGUGAUAUCAACGUCAUUAACGAACAGAUGUGGUUUUGGUAUUCUAAUGUAUGGAUUUGGAUCAAAGAAAUCAUUGAUUGAAGAUUUUGCUUCAAUCGCUUUGCCAGAGCAUUCUGUUGUUGUAAUUAAUGGUUACCUUCAAUAAAUCAAUAUAAAAUAGGUGUUGUUUUCAUCACAUAACAUUUAAGGGACCAAGUUAGUUCCUAUCGUAUUAAAAAGAAUCAAAAUAUGGCCAAAUUGGAAAAUGGACUAUUUGAUUCUUUUUAUAGGAUAGGGACU